rnacentral:misc_RNA from 1 species
UUAAGUUCAGCGGGUAAUCCUACCUGAUUUGAGGUCAGAGGUCAAUGAGAUGUUGUCCGCAAGCAGACGGUUGGAAGCUGAGCCCAGUUAAAGUAAGCCUCACAGCCACGGCGUAGACAAUUAUCACACCGAGGCCGAUACAGCAAAGGUUCAAGCUAAUGCAUUCAAGAGGAGCCGGCUCAAAAAGCCAGCAAAGACCU